rnacentral:lncRNA from 1 species
GCGAGUCGACUCCGAUCCCAACGGUAAUAUUGUCAGGAAGUGCAGACUGUGUCCAACGGCUCUAUUUUUGUCUCUAACGGCUAUAUUCUUGUUUCCACGCCAUCUAAAGCUAUAAAAACAAGAAGAGAGCUAGGGGAGAACUUAUGGAAGUGGGAGAAAACAUUUAGGAAAGAGAUUUGAAAGAGAUUACAAGGGAAAUCUUCCAUAAGCACAAAAGGGCCAUUCAAAGUGAAAUAGAGAGAAGAAGAGCAUCCAAGUGAAUCCCAAAGCUUCCUCUCCAUCCGUGUGCUGCCUCGGAGAUCCUCUGCUUCGUGCC